rnacentral:tRNA from 2 species
GGCAAGAUGGCCGAGUGGUCUAAGGCGUUGGAUUUAGGAUCCGAAAGGGCGUGGGUUCGAAUCCCACUCUUGUCA